UGUUUAUCCCGCCUAUAUACCACCGUCGUCAGCUUACCCUGUGAAGGACUUAUAGUAAGCAAGAUUGGCAAAGCCCAAAACGUCAGGUCGAGGUGUAGCGUAUGGAAAGGGAAGAAAUGGGCUACAUUCACUAGCAAAGUGAAACACGAACGAUACACUGAAAUACGUAUCUGAAGGAGGAUUUAGCAGUAAGCAGAAAAUAGAGCGUUCCGCUGAAACUGGCCCUGAAGCGCGCACACACCGCCCGUCACUCUCCCCAAGCUUACUAACCCUAAGUACCUAAAACCCUAAAACUGCAAAGGGGAGGCAAGUCGUAACAUGGUAAGUGUACCGGAAGGUGCACUUGGAAAAAU
rnacentral:rRNA from 1 species